CGGCCACCACAUAGUUUCACACCCCUCUCCACUACUAAGGGACAACUAGCUUCCUCUAUAUUUUUCUAAGAAAUUUCUAACAACCAUCAAAUUCAUUUUUUCAUUUUUAUCAUUGGUUCCUGUUAAAAUUAUUAUAGGUUUUGAAGGGAAAUAUUGAUUUUAAUUUAUUGCUAUGAUUUUUCUUUGAUUUGGCUCCUUUUGGAACGAAUUGACAAUAUCGUCAGAAGGAGAAGAAAAGGACUGGAACCUGAUGACAAGCAUGGAAGAUGAAGAAGAAAGCAGCAAUGGAUGUCCUCCAAGGAAGAAGCUCCGUCUCUCCAAAGAAUAAUCUCGUCUUCUCAAAGGAAGUUUCAGGCAAAACCAUACCCCGGAAAAGUUUCCUUCAAUGGUCACCGGUUGAAUGCGUUUGUUCCCCAGAGCACGUUAGCUUAUAUAAGCCAAGAAGAUCUGCAUAUUGUUGUGAUAACUGAGUGAAACACUUGAAUUUGCUGCCCAAUGUCUUCAUGUUGGAAACCAAGGAAAUAUGAUGAUGGAAGUCAGUAAAAGAGAGGAGACAGGCACUGUUCCAGAUCCAGAUGUAGAUACUUACAUGAAGCCUCCAUGCUAGGGUGGUUGAAGUGGGAUUUUUGGGUUUCCCCUUUUUCAUAUGGAAAGAUAGGCCUUUCAGUAAAUAAAUUUUUUGCUCCUCAGUGGCAAAAGGCAAGAUCGAGCAAAGGCUGUCGAGAUUCUUGUCAAGGACCUUAAGGUUUUUGCAUCUUUCAAUGGAGAUCUUUUCAAGGGGAUUACUCAGCUCCUUACUCUUGAUAACUUUAGGCAAAAUGAGCAUCUUUCCAAGUGUGGAGACACAAAAUCGGCUUGUAAUAUUAUGCUUGUAGAACUCAAAAAGCUAAUUGAAGCAAACCCCCUAUUUCGUGACAAGCUUAUACAUUCCCAGCCUUCAAAAGUUCACGUCUGAGGACAUUACUAAACCAGAGGUGAUCAAGGAGUGAGUCGAAUGAAGGAUUCUCAAACGUAAACAAAGAUCGUCAGGAGGAGGAGAAGAGGACUGGAACCUGAUGACGAGUAUGGAAGAUGAGGAAGAAAGCAGCAAUAGAUGUCCUCCGAGGAAGAAGUUCUGUCUCUCCAAAGAAUAAUCUCGUCUUCUCAAAGAAAGUUUCAGGCAAAACCAUACCCCGGGAAAAGUUUCCUUCGAUGGUCACCGGUUGGAUGAGUUUGUUCCCCAGAAAAUGUCAGCUUAUAUAAGCCAAGAAGAUCUGCAUAUUGCUGUGAUGACUGAGGGAAACACUUGAAUUUGCUGCCCAAUGUCUUGGUGUUGGAAACCGCAGAAAUAUGAUGAUGGAAGUCAGUAAAAGAGAGGAGCCAGGCACUGUUCCGGAUCCAGAUGUAGAUACUUACACAAAGGUUCUUCUGUCAGUUCAUUCUACUUUUUGUGGUGCACCUUGCCUUUAUAUCCAUGUUACGGUUGUUGGCACCAGUUUGCCAGACUCUGGCUGCUGCUAUGAUAGCUGGUGUUUUCGCAUUAUACUAGUCCUAAUUUUUGGUGGUUUCAUCAUCGCACAUAGUUAGACUAUUUGGACCUCAUUCAAUUUGAUUUCAAAAUCAUCUUCAAAAAGGAUAAACUUGUGCUAUGUCAUUGGUUGCAACCUUCAUGCCAGGGUGGUUGAGGUGGGAUUUUCGGGUUUCCCCUCUUUCAUAUGGAGAGAUAGGCCUUUCACUAAAUGAAUUUCUCGCUUCUCAGCGGCAAAAACCAGAUAGUAGUUUUACCAAUGGUAGUGUUUGUGCUGCCUAGAAACACUACCAUUGGGUACUUGAAAGCCAUGGAUUAUUAAACUUUGAUGAAUCUUAUUUCUGGCUAGCAUUGGGCGCCUUGUUUGGCAUGGCUUUACUUUUCGACAUUGGCUUUAUCUUGACCUUAAGUUUGUUGAAGCCCCCCUGAUCAUCUUGUGUGAUGAUUUUGCAAGAAAAGUUGGGCAAGAUUCAAGGAGGUUAGGAUUCCGUUGAUGGUAAACUUGUGAAAGAAAAGUCUAGAAAUACUCCCACAAAGGAGAAGAAGAAAUUCCCAACUGCUUUCUGAUAUUCUGUUGGAUUAAGGCCUGAUGUGCUUACAGCCUUGAUGGGUGUUAGUGAAGCUGGAAAAUCCACUCUUCUAUGUUUUGGCCAUACAAUGUUGUAUUGAUAACAAACUUGUUCUUCUUGCUUUAAUCUCUCAUGAAUCAAUCAGUGAGGGUUUGUUAGUACUGAAAGCUCUGUGCUCAUUCUCCUGGAAAACUAAACUGAGGCCUCCAAUCAUGCACGUGUACAAAAGGAAAAGCAAAGGAAUUAAACAAAGGAAGAUCUCAGGCACAUUAUCAGGAGAAAACAACAAACAAUGAGGAAGCAAUUCAGAAGACAACAAAGAGGCAAAAUCAGGGCAGAUAAUGGUAGUUGAAAUCAAGGCACAAAUAAAAUAAACUGAAAUCAGGGCCGGACAACCAGACCAAGAUUGACAGAACAAAGCCAAAACAGACUAUAAAAAGAGAAGAUCAGAUGAAGAAGAGGCAAGCAAGAAUUCAAUAAUUCUUUAAGGGGGUUUUACAGCCAAAAAAGAGAGGGGGCUGGCACCUCUACUGCAAGUAUAUUUCUAGUUCUUAUUACUAGUUUCUGAAAGAGAAUAAACACUUGUAGUCUGAAGUUUCAUCAAAAAAAAAUUUUGUGCAUGUGUAUUUACACAUUCUGUGGUUCUCUAUUGAUUAUAUAUUCUGUAAUUUUCGAUCAAAGAGGUAUCAGCCAACACUGGGGGCUGGGUUAUGGUGAACACCCCACAUGGAUUCUAGGGUAGAUCAAGUGGUGACAGAUUAGUUGGAGGUUGAAAUUCGAUCUCUAAUGGAGGGAUUUAGUGAGAUGAAAGACCUGUUAAUAAUAAUCUGUCAGAGCAACCAACAACAACAUAGAGACAAAAUUUGAAUGGUAACAAUUAACAAUCCAAGGAGAAACCAGAGAACCAAGCAAUGGGAGAACAAGGACAAAGGAUGCUGAUGUAAGGCAGAAUCAUCAAAAAAAGGGGAAUUAAGGUUGAUGAUCAAUGAAAAUAUGUUGUUGUGAAAUGUGUGGAUAUUCGAACAAUAGAUUUAACGUCUAGAAUUGCCUCCUUUUUUGGUAAAGUUUCCCAUCAGGUGGAUUUUUUGGGCAGAAUGAUACUUCGUUGUGAAUCGAAUGAGAGAAAGGGACAAGUUGCCAGCAAUCACAAUCUGCAUGGAUGAUUGGCCUUGUUUUGGUUACAGUGGAUGGAAUCCUGGAAUCUCAUAACAAAAUACGUGAUUGAGCAUGAUAAUUCAACUUCGAGAGAGUGAACAGGUCCAUGGUAGGAUACUGGUAUAGACCAGUUUUUUCUUGUAUGCACAUUUUUCUGUAGCAAUAAUUUUUGUGGUACAGUGAGACUAAUAAUUGAGUUUCUAUCGUUUGUGGA